CCUACGGGUGGCAGCAGUGGGGAAUAUUGGACAAUGGGGGGAACCCUGAUCCAGCCAUGCCGCGUGUGUGAAGAAGGCCCUCGGGUUGUAAAGCACUUUCAGUGAGGAAGAACGCCUGGUGGUUAAUACCCAUCAGGAAAGACAUCACUCACAGAAGAAGCACCGGCUAACUCCGUGCCAGCAGCCGCGGUAAUACGGAGGGUGCGAGCGUUAAUCGGAAUUACUGGGCGUAAAGCGCGCGUAGGUGGCUUGAUAAGCCGGUUGUGAAAGCCCCGGGCUCAACCUGGCAACGGCAUCCGGAACUGUCAAGCUAGAGUGCAGGAGAGGAAGGUAGAAUUCCCGGUGUAGCGGUGAAAUGCGUAGAGAUCGGGAGGAAUACCAGUGGCGAAGGCGGCCUUCUGGACUGACACUGACACUGAGGUGCGAAAGCGUGGGUAGCAAACAGGAUUAGAUACCCUGGUAGUC
rnacentral:rRNA from 1 species